AAAUGCAUCGGCCGGGAAUCGAACCCGGGCCGCCCGCGUGGCAGGCGAGUAUUCUACCACUGAUUAAAUGAAAGGAUU